UACGUAGGGUGCGAGCGUUAAUCGGAAUUACUGGGCGUAAAGCGUGCGCAGGCAGUUUUGUAAGCCAGAUGUGAAAUCCCCGGGCUUAACCUGGGAAUGGCAUUUGGGACUGCAAGGCUGGAGUGCGGCAGAGGAGACUGGAAUUCCUGGUGUAGCAGUGAAAUGCGUAGAUAUCAGGAGGAAUACCGAUGGCGAAGGCAGGUCUCUGGGCUGACACUGACGCUCAUGCACGAAAGCGUGGGGAGCAAACAGG
rnacentral:rRNA from 1 species